rnacentral:lncRNA from 1 species
AUUUAAGUUCAUAAAUGGCCGUAUGACGAAACUGAGCAACCAUAUGGCCAUUCCGACUGAACUCACCCUUUCCUGUGGAGAAACAGCACAGCAGCAGUGCUCUCAGUCUCAGGAUGGAGGUGCCAUAUAUGAGCUCACCAGCGUGGUGUCACAUUUGGGCAGAAUGUUUGGUCACUACAUCAGUGACAUCAUCGAAGGGUCUGCUGAUGGCUGGCUCUGCCUAAAUGACAGCUAUGCCAGCAGACUGAGUGAACAGGAGAUUCUGCAGAAAAGAGCAAAGAAAUCCUACCUGCUCUUCUACGUGCAAAGAGCACCUCAGGAUCCCCCCUGCUGA